UACGUAGGUGGCAAGCGUUGUCCGGAUUUACUGGGCGUAAAGAGCGCGCAGGCGGUCGGAUUAGUCGCGUGUGAAAGCCCCCGGCUCAACUGGGGAGGGUCACGCGAUACUGUUCGACUCGAAGGCAGGAGAGGGAAGUGGAAUUCCCGGUGUAGUGGUGAAAUGCGUAGAUAUCGGGAGGAACACCAGUGGCGAAAGCGGCUCUCUGGGGACCAUCUGACGCUGAGGCGCGAAAGCGUGGGGAGCGAACCGG
rnacentral:rRNA from 1 species